AGUCACAUCAGCUGCCCGAGCAGGCAGGGAGAGAAAUGCCCGUCGGCUUCCGGGAGUGCCAAAUAAAGACAAGUCCAGAAAGAGAGAGAGACCGUGACAGAGACGGAGAAAGAAAGCAAAAAUGCAUUCUUUAAGCGUAGGAGCUACACAAAACAGUCAAGCUCUUCUGCUCUUUUCACCUCCCCAGGAGGACGUUGGCAGACAUCAAAGGCUAAGACUAAGCACUGGAAUGCCGAGGGUGACAGUGGUGUGAAUUUUCUUCUGCUCCUUCAAUCUCUCUCUCAGCUACGGACUUCAAGACUGAGGAUAUCUCAAUUUUACAUCCUGCUGCAAAAUGAGACUGCUGGUAUGGAUCCCUAGGUACAGUACAUUGUUUACAUUAGUAUGUAGUUUUGUUGGCCUAAAUUACUAUUUUACAAGUGAUGGCUGCCUAGAUUAGAUGUGAAGAGCUGAUCAAGUACAGCAGCACAGAGCCAUGCAGAAUUGUUUACCCUACUUUUCAUCUCCAUGGCAAAUGAAAACGUUUUUUUCUGUACUCUGAGAGCUUUCUGAGACCAGCCCCAUUAUAUAUCCCUAUCAACGCAUACUUUUCGCAUUCAGCUGAGGUAGAGGAGUUUCUUCUGGUAAGUGAAAACGUGGUUUUCCUUUUAUAGGCCUUAGCUGAGAUACUUUGCAUGAUGGCUUGCUUUUUUCCCCUUGCUUUCUGAAUUACCAUCAUCUGUGUAUUGAGUCUUUCUAUGAAAACAGAAGAACAAAUACAAAGCCAGAAAAUGAUUCUGCCUUUUUUGCCAGAUGAUCUUCCUGUAGCCACAUUGUCUUCCACUCUACCUUUCAUUUUUUGUUAUUUUUUCCCAAAAAAGGAAGGAGGAGAAAGCAAAAGUUAAAAAAAAAGAAAAAAAGUAUUUGUUUGAUGGCUAAAAUGGUUUGGAAAGAAUUACAAAUAUUUUGCUCUGGUGGGGUGAAAUCCUAUUCCUCCUCAAAUCAGUGUGUGUUUUGCCAGUGGCUGAUGAGCUUUCACCCUAAAUUUUCACCUUAAUGUUUCACUUGAAUAAAUAUAGACCAAUGAUUCAAGUACUAGAAGAAAACGUUUUGUUUCAAAGCAAUUCAUUUAUUUAAUGCUUAUUUUCCUGCUUUCCUGUAUUUACAUGGGCUCUGUACCUACUGUACCAUAUUUCUAGAAGCUAUCAUUUUCUUUAGAGAAUAUUGUUUGCUCUGCUGAAUAAUUCAUCUUGGGGAUCUCCUUUAAUCCCCCAUCAAAUGUGCCACUCUUGUAACUUUGUAGAGGAAAAAAAAAGGAACACAACACUGCAAAGCUGAUUUAUGAAUUAGGCCAUGAGAGUUAAAAAUAAAUAAAGUGUUGGUGUAAGUAAGUACAUCAGGUUGGAUUCUGGUUCAGUUAUAUCAGUGUCUCUGAAACAAAACUGUUGGUUCUAUGCAGAUUUCCACUAAUGUGGCAAAGAUCUGGCUCUGACUUAUCACAGAGUGUAAAAAAGGAGCAUGGGAGAAGCGUGGUGACAAUUUGAUAUUUAGAUGUCAGAUAAUUUGUCUGGCAAUGUAAGCUUUGAAGGAAAACAGAACUGCUUAGAAUACAAUAUAAAUUCAACAGCAAAUAACAUGCAGUCUAAUCCAAAAUUCUAUGUAUCUCACCUGGUUAAAAUAUAAAUGUUUUAGAUGGAAAGGAAAUACUCCAGAAGUAUCUUCAUAGUGAAUUUGUGGUCCACAAACACUUUUAAGUUCUUUCAUGGGAUUUACACAUUUGUUAUAAGCAACUCCAAUUAAUUUUCUGUAUAUAAGAUAGAUUCAGGUACUGCACCUCUUACAAAGUGUUGUUUCAAAGCCGAGUCUUGAGGUACUUGUAAAACAUUAAAAGGAAAUAAUCAAAACAGUUGCAUACUCGAAGAAUGUAUGCCUUGCAAAGUCAAACCAGUAUUAAAGGUGCAUAUCAGUCCCACAGCAUAUAAAAGAUUGUUGCUUGUAUCUGAGCUGACCAAUUCAGAAAUGUCAGCCUCUUCCAGCCACCAGCUUCAUUCAGCCUGUAAUAAAUAGCCAAAUUGUCAGCUUGUG